UGGGGAAUUUUGGACAAUGGGCGAAAGCCUGAUCCAGCAAUGCCGCGUGUGUGAAGAAGGCCUUCGGGUUGUAAAGCACUUUUGUCCGGAAAGAAAUCCUUGGCUCUAAUACAGUCGGGGGAUGACGGUACCGGAAGAAUAAGCACCGGCUAACUACGUGCCAGCAGCCGCGGUAAUACGUAGGGUGCAAGCGUUAAUCGGAAUUACUGGGCGUAAAGCGUGCGCAGGCGGUUUGCUAAGACCGAUGUGAAAUCCCCGGGCUCAACCUGGGAACUGCAUUGGUGACUGGCAGGCUAGAGUAUGGCAGAGGGGGGUAGAAUUCCACGUGUAGCAGUGAAAUGCGUAGAGAUGUGGAGGAAUACCGAUGGCGAAGGCAGCCCCCUGGGCCAAAUACUGACGCUCAUGCACGAAAGCGUGGGGAGCAAAACAGGAUUAGAUACCCUGGUAGUCCACGCCCUAAAACGAUGUCAACUAGUUGUUGGGGAUUCAUUCCUUAGUAACGUAGCUAACGCGUGAAGUUGACCGCCUGGGGAGUACGGUCGCAAGAUUAAAACUUAAAUGAAUUGACGGGGUCAUAGCUG
rnacentral:rRNA from 1 species